AUGUCGGACACGGAGAGGUCCGUGGCGAGCUGCGUGGCGUACGUCGGCAUGGAAUUGAGGCAGAGGAGCGUGGCCAGGAAUGGGAGGGUGGUGUCGAUUGUGGAGGACACGGUCAGCAGCUGCGGAAACAGCUCGCGUGAAAGCGCUGCGGCUGACGCCACGGUGCGGGUUCGGCCCGGCGGCCUGAGUUGA
rnacentral:rRNA from 1 species